rnacentral:rRNA from 1 species
GAUGAACGCUGGCGGCGUGCCUAAUACAUGCAAGUCGAGCGAACAGACGAGGAGCUUGCUCCUCUGACGUUAGCGGCGGACGGGUGAGUAACACGUGGAUAACCUACCUAUAAGACUGGGAUAACUUCGGGAAACCGGAGCUAAUACCGGAUAAUAUAUUGAACCGCAUGGUUCAAUAGUGAAAGACGGUUUUGCUGUCACUUAUAGAUGGAUCCGCGCCGCAUUAGCUAGUUGGUAAGGUAACGGCUUACCAAGGCAACGAUGCGUAGCCGACCUGAGAGGGUGAUCGGCCACACUGGAACUGAGGCACGGUCCAGACUCCUACGGGAGGCAGCAGUAGGGAAUCUUCCGCAAUGGGCGAAAGCUUGACGGAGCAACGCCGCGUGAGUGAUGAAGGUCUUCGGAUCGUAAAACUCUGUUAUUAGGGAAGAACAAAUGUGUAAGUAACUAUGCACGUCUUGACGGUACCUAAGCAGAAAGCCACGGCUAACUACGU